UGGUACAGAGGGACUUCUAUAGGAGCAGAGACUAAAGAGGCCAGGCCUGUUCAGUUUAAAAAGAGACACUUGAGGGCAGACAUGAGAAGGGUUUACAAAAUACUAAACGGUGAAGAGAAAGUCCAUAGGGAUUUGUUAUUGACUCUCUCACAAUACAAGAACUAGGGGUCACAACAUGAAACGAGCAGGUAAUAAGUUUAAAAUUAACAAAAGAAAGUUCUUUUUCACCCAGCGUGGAGUUCAAGUGUGGACUCAUUGCCACCAGAUGUGGUGGAAGUGGGCAGUUUAGCCAGAUGUAAAAAGGGAUCAGACACAUUCUUGGAGGAAAGGUGCAUCAGUAGCUAUUGAGCACGGGACUGAGGGAUACAGCCUCUG